rnacentral:rRNA from 1 species
CCCAUUCCGAACUCAGAAGUUAAGCCCUUUUUCGCCGAUGGUACUACGCACGAGAGUGUGGAAGAGUAGGGCGUCGCCACUU